AUUAGCUAGUUGGUGAGGUAACGGCUCACCAAGGCGACGAUGCGUAGCCGACCUGAGAGGGUGAACGGCCACACUGGGACUGAGACACGGCCCAGACUCCUACGGGAGGCAGCAGUAGGGAAUCUUCCGCAAUGGGCGAAAGCCUGACGGAGCAAUGCCGCGUGAGUGAUGAAGGUUUUCGGAUCGUAAAGCUCUGU
rnacentral:rRNA from 1 species